CGGAAGCUAGCAGAAGGAUGUGGCUGCUGUCAGUGUUGCUGCCUCUGCUGAAGCUUUAUUUAUGCGGGGUUAAAGUUCUUCUGUACCAAAUGUUCAACAAGUCUUUUACGCUGCCAGAUCUUACUCAACAACACAAUUGUCAAGUGGAGGAUGUUCUGGCUGACCAGCAGCUCUGUAACCGGAAGAAGAACUACAUUCUGGACCAGAAGGAACCAGAACCUCCACAACAGCAGAAACUCUGCACCAAUCAUGAAGGAGAGCAGCAUGUACUGAAAGAGGAGACUGAUCCGUCUACAGUAACUGCUACUUAUGAUGGACCAGAACCAAACUAUGACAUGGUUCUCUCUCACAACACUCCUCAAGUUCUCCCUCAACAACAUGACUGUAAGGAGGAAGAGAUCCUGUCUGACCAGCAGCUCUGUAACCAGGAAAAAAGUCUGGACCACUUUGACCCGACUGUCAUCCAAUUCAAAGAAGAGAUCAACCAUCAGGAUCCAGUGCUGAACAUUAUCCUGACACCUGAGAUAAAGUUAACAUCCAUUGUGGUCUGGGUAUAUCUGAAGCACGCUGCCAUUGUUCUGAGCGUCGGCGCCUACAGUUAUAAAACAAUUUAUUAGACUAAAACAUUGAAAUGUGUCAGUGUUCAUAUGCUCAAAACAGACAGGGCAGCUUUCCGUUUUUAGCUGAUAUGCCAUGCUCGUAGUCGAGCUGUGAUAGAUAGACGCUUUAUUGGCAAAAGGAAAGAACAGCAGACAGCCCAACCAGAACAGGACCAGUCACGCUGGAAAAACACUGUCAUCCCAUAUAUAUCAGAAGUUUCUGAGAACCUCAGAAGGAUUUUCAAUGCACAUCAGAUCCCAGUACACUUUAAGCCUAGCUCUACACUGAGAGAAAAACUGGUCCACCCGAAGGACAAAACUCCCAGGGACAGACAGAGCAAUGUAAUCUAUGCAGUUCAGUGCAGUGAGGAAUGCUCUGAUCUUUAUGUUGGUGAAGCCAAACAACCACUCCACAGAAGAAUGCGGGCAGCAGUGGCACAGUGGCAUAGCAGGGUUGUCCCGUAACCGGAAGGUUGGUGGUUUGAUCCCAACUCCUCCCUAGUCACUGUUGUGUGUCACUCACUGGUGUAUGGUGCUCUACAAUUUCCCCAUUGUAGGACUAAUAAAGGUUUCAAUUAUUAUUAUUAUAAUGGCUCA
rnacentral:lncRNA from 1 species